UGAUGUUGUAUGAGAAUAAAGUCUUAGGC
rnacentral:sRNA from 1 species